rnacentral:rRNA from 1 species
GGAAGUAAAAGUCGUAACAAGGUCUCCGUUGGUGAACCAGCGGAGGGAUCAUUACUGAGUUUACGCUCUACAACCCUUUGUGAACAUACCUAUAACUGUUGCUUCGGCGGGUAGGGUCUCCGCGACCCUCCCGGCCUCCCGCCUCCGGGCGGGUCGGCGCCCGCCGGAGGAUAACCAAACUCUGAUUUAACGACGUUUCUUCUGAGUGGUACAAGCAAAUAAUCAAAACUUUUAACAACGGAUCUCUUGGUUCUGGCAUCGAUGAAGAACGCAGCGAAAUGCGAUAAGUAAUGUGAAUUGCAGAAUUCAGUGAAUCAUCGAAUCUUUGAACGCACAUUGCGCCCGCCAGCAUUCUGGCGGGCAUGCCUGUUCGAGCGUCAUUUCAACCCUCAAGCUCUGCUUGGUGUUGGGGCCCUACAGCCGAUGUAGGCCCUCAAAGGUAGUGGCGGACCCUCCCGGAGCCUCCUUUGCGUAGUAACUUUACGUCUCGCACUGGGAUCCGGAGGGACUCUUGCCGUAAAACCCCCCAAUUUUCCAAAGGUUGACCUCGGAUCAGGUAGGAAUACCCGCUGAACUUAAGCAUAUCAAUAAGCGGAGGA